GGAAUAUAAGAAACAGUCUCUUAACUUUUAACUAAACAAACUAAGAACCGAUUCUUAAAUAUAUUUAAGAGCCGAUUCUUAAUUUUUUUAGUUAAAAGUUAAGAGACGGUUUCUUAUAUUCC
rfam:Brassica napus, WGS project CCCW01000000 data, contig: 232